AGAGUUUGAUCCUGGCUCAGAACGAACGCUGGCGGCGUGCUUAACACAUGCAAGUCGAACGCGAAAAGGGACUUCGGUCCUGAGUAAAGUGGCGCACGGGUGAGUAACGCGUGGAUAAUCUACCCAAUGAUCUGGGAUAACAUCUCGAAAGGGGUGCUAAUACCGGAUAAGACCACGGAGUCUCUGGAUUCUGCGGUAAAAGGUGGGGACCUUCGGGCCUACCGUCAUCGGAUGAGUCCGCGUACCAUUAGCUAGUUGGUGGGGUAAUGGCCUACCAAGGCUACGAUGGUUAGCUGGUCUGAGAGGAUGAUCAGCCACACUGGAACUGAGACACGGUCCAGACUCCUACGGGAGGCAGCAGUGGGGAAUUUUGCGCAAUGGGGGAAACCCUGACGCAGCAACGCCGCGUGAGUGAUGAAGGCUUUCGGGUCGUAAAGCUCUGUCAGAGGGGAAGAAAUGUAUGGAUGCUAAUACCAUCUUUACUUGACGGUACCCUCAAAGGAAGCACCGGCUAACUCCGUGCCAGCMGCCGCGGUAAUA
rnacentral:rRNA from 1 species